GUGAGGAAUUUUCGGCAAUGGGCGCAAGCCUGACCGAGCAACGCCGCGUGCAGGAGGAAGGUCUUCGGAUCGUAAACUGCUUUUCUCGGGGACGAAUUGAUGACGGUACCCGAGGAAGAAGCCCCGGCUGACUACGUGCCAGCAGCCGCGGUAAUACGUAGGGGGCGAGCGUUGUCCGGAGUUACUGGGCGUAAAGCGCCCGCAGGCGGUCGGUCGCGUUUGAGGUAACAGCUCCUGGCUUACCUGGGAGAGCGUCUCAAAAACGGGCUGACUUGAGGGCCAGAGAGGGACACGGAAUUCCGGGUGUAGUGGUGAAAUGCGUAGAUAUCCGGAGGAACACCGAAGGCGCAGGCAGUGUCCUGGCUGGCACCUGACGCUCAGGGGCGAAAGCUAGGGGAGCGAACGGGAUUAGAUACCCCGGUAGUCC
rnacentral:rRNA from 1 species